UGACCAUCAGUGACCAGAGUGACCAUCAGUGACCAUCAGUGACCAUCACUGACCAUCACUGACCACCACUGACCAUCACUGACCAUCACUGACCAGAGUGACCAUCACUGACCAUCACUGACCAUCACUGACCAUCACUGACCAUCAGUGACCAUCACUGACCAUCACUGACCAUCACUGACCAUCAGUGACCAUCACUGACCAUCACUGACCAUCACUGACCAUCAGUGACCAUCAGUGACCAGAGUGACCAUUACUGACCAUCAGUGACCAUCAGUGACCAUCACUGACCAUCACUGACCAUCACUGACCACCACUGACCAUCACUGACCAUCACUGACCAUCAGUGACCAUCAGUGACCAGAGUGACCACUGACCAUCACUGGCCAUUACUCUGGGCUGUACUGGGAGCACUGGGAUCCCUCAGAUCCCAGACUGGAGCGUCCCAGGUGUGUCCAGGUGUGUCCCCAGGUGUGUCCAGGUGUGUCCCAGGUGUGUCCCCAUGUCCCCCCAGGUGUCCCCAGCUGUCCCCAGGUGUUCCCAGGUGUGUCCAGGUGUGUCCCAGGUGUGUCCCCAUGUCCCCCCAGGUGUCCCCAGGUGUCUCAGGUGUAUCUCAGGUGUCCCCAGGUGUGUCCCAAUGUCCCCCCAUGUCCCCCCAUGUCCCCCCAGGUGUCCCCAGGUGUGUCUCAGGUAUCUCAGGUGUGUCCCAGGUGUCCCCAGGUGUAUCCAGGUGUGUCUCAGGUAUCUCAGGUGUGUCCCAGGUGUCCCCAGGUGUGUCCCAGGUGUCCCCAGGUGUGUCCCAAUGUCCCCCCAGGUGUCCCCAGGUGUCCCCAGGUGUGUCUCAGGUAUCUCAGGUGUGUCCCAGGUGUCCCCAGGUGUCCCCAGGUAUCUCAGGUGUGUCCCCAGGUAUCUCAGGUGUAUCUCAGGUGUAUCCAGGUGUGUCCCCAUGUCCCCCCAUGUCCCCCAGGUGUGUCCCAUGUCCCCCCAGGUGUCUCAGGUGUCCCCAGGUGUGUCACAGACCUGCAGCAGCAGGUGACAGAUCUCCAGGUGUCCUUUCUGCGCGGCCGCGUGCAGCGCCGAGCGCUUG
rnacentral:lncRNA from 1 species